CCCCUCUCAGGAUCACACCUGGAGAGUUUCCAGUACUCUACCAGUCUUGAUUAGAGGAGGAAGAAUCAGACAGAGACCUACUCAUUCCAUUCCUAGCUUGGGCAGUGGCUAGCGAGUGGAAGGCCAUCUGCUUGAAGU